rnacentral:rRNA from 1 species
UACAGAGGGUGCGAGCGUUAAUCGGAAUUACUGGGCGUAAAGGGCUCGUAGGCGGCCAACUAAGUCGGAUGUGAAAUCCCCAGGCUCAACCUGGGAACUGCAUCCGAUACUGGAUGGCUUGAAUUCGGGAGAGGGAUGCAGAAUUCCAGGUGUGAGCGGUGAAAUGCGUAGAUAUCUGGAGGAAUACCGGUGGCGAAGGCGGCAUCCUGGACCGACAUUGACGCUGAUGAGCGAAAGCUAGGGAGCAACGGG